CUGCGACCACAAUCUCGCUAUUAGCAACUCUCUUUCUCUCUGAUUUUUUCAUAAUUAGAAAUAUAAUUAAGUUAUAUUUAAGUUAUUACACUUUUUCUAACUUAGCACGUAUUUGAAUUUGAAGCCAAUUAUAUACGAAUCCAUCAGCACCAUACAAGUAAUUGCAGGAUCCAUUUUAUCAACAUGAUUCUCUAUUCGAAUCCUUCUUGAGAAAUCGCAUUGCACAUGUGUAGAAAUAUUUGUAUUCAAAUUGAACAUUUGAUUAAGUAUGAAAAGAUUGAAGUUUAUGCUCUCGAGAAGAGCGCUCGUAUUAAGUUUUCGUGUGAAUAUUUAAUGUAUAUUUAUGCAAAUUAUUUUAAGCUUCAAGGUAAGUAAAUGAUAAUGUAUGAAAAAGUAUUUUUCUUCAUAAAUUUUAAUACAGUAAUAUUACUUUAAAUUGUAGUAUAAUAUAAUUUUUAAUGUGAUGAUUUAAUUACACAAAUCGACGUUGUGUAAGAUUUAUUUGAAAAUAUUAAUAACUGAGGAAAUAUAGAAUUUUCAUAUCAUUUAAAAUAGAUGAUAUUUAUUGUCCAUAUGAAAUUUAUUUUUUUCAUUUUUCAUUCUUCGUCCUGUGCGUAUUAAGAGGGUUUUUUUUUUUCAUGGGUUCGACGAGACUUACAAUGAGGACGGUCGAGUGGUGAGGUACUGGGCCAAAUAUAUCCAGGACAGACUUUCCUGGAAAAAUUCCUGGAGCUACUCGUCUGGAUUCGACUUCGGAUUCCCCAGAGUGCUAUAUGACAAUUUUAUUUCAAUCCAGAGAUUUUCUGUUGGGAAACUACCUUUGGAAUUUAAACUGAAGAUGAAUGACUUUAUGAAAAGAUUUGGAAAGAUUCCUCUGGGAAUAUCUAUGGGAGGAUUCUUUUACAUCAAAAAACAUUUUGUAAUAAGGGUGGUAAGUGGACUGUAUUCCAUAUUUUCUUCUUUUAUUCAGAUAAGUGGAAAGAUGGAACAGAAAAAAGUUUGUGAUCCUCUUCAAAUUCUGAAGUUGGAGAAAUUAUAAAUUAAAAAGCUACGAAGAAUAUUUAUAAUGAACAAUGUGAUUUAAUAAUAGGAAAAACAUUUUAUUAUGAAAUUCAUUCCAAUCACUGUUUCUCUUUAGAGUUAACAGUGGCCGAGGGGUUAAUGGAUUAAAAUACUGUAUACUUCAUUUAAAAAGUUCUAUUCAUUUAAUUAAUAUGGCUAAGACUGUCAAGAGUUAUUAUUUCAUUCAUGUAAUAAUGCUUCAUUCAAGAUUUUUUGGCUCCAUCUUACAGUUUGUUAUAAGAAAGUCUGUACAUUGUCCGUAUAUUAUUAAUUAUUAUAAAAUGUGGAUUAGAUUAGACUGUAGUGAUGAGUUUUAUUUAAUAAAAAAUUGUUAAU